GACAUUAUCUUCAGGAUAUAAGGUCGCACUGAGGUUAAACACUUGUGCUUGAAGCACGUGAUUGAAUAUCAAGGUACAACAUUUUGCAGUACUGGUUCACCAGAGAAUAGAUUUGCCAAGGACAACAAUUUUGGAAGCCAGAGUGCCUCAA